rnacentral:misc_RNA from 1 species
UUUCCGUAGGUGAACCUGCGGAAGGAUCAUUACAGUAGUCACCCAGGUUGCCGCAAGGCCUCCUGGGUAACCUACCACCCUUUGUUUAUUACACUUUGUUGCUUUGGCAAGCCUGCCCUCGGGCUGCUGGCUCCGGCCGGCGAGCGCUUGCCAGAGGACCUAAACUCAGUUUGUCUAUACUGUCUGAGUACUAUAUAAUAGUUAAAACUUUCAACAACGGAUCUCUUGGUUCUG